UAUUGCUCAACCGGUAGAGCACCUGCUGUAAUAAGCGGGCAGUCUGGGUUCGAAUCCCGGUG
rnacentral:ncRNA from 13 species